UCUGGACCAUGCCGUGCUGGUGGUUGGUUAUGAUACCACUAUAAAUGGUAAACAUUACUGGCUGGUAAAGAACAGCUGGGGUAAGACGUGGGGUGAUAAUGGAUACAUCAAAAUGUCCAGGAACGAGGGCAACCAAUGUGGUAUUGCCACUGCCGCAUUCUAUCCUUUAGCAACCCCAUUUAGAGCAAAUUCACCCUCCGGUUCACCUUCCGGUUCACCCUCCGGUUCAACCUCGGAUAUUCGUCUUGGAGGCUCUACGUUGUUUAUCUUCAUUGUUCUUGUGUUUGGGCAACUCAGCUGCCAGGGACACUAAAGGGACGCUGCAUGAAAUAUAUUAUAUCACGAAAUUAUAUCACUUGCUAUUCUUUAUAAUAGUUCAUUUUUAGUAGCGUAAAUGU